UGUCAACCAGCACUUUUUAAGAUGAACUGUAACCAACUAGCUUCUCACAUGCUUCUCAUAUGGUAAGAGUUAAUUUUAGCUCAUGAAACUUUUGGUUCUGUGAAACACCUGCUGAACAGACUCCUGGGAAGGGGGUCUGUGGGAGUUGACAUUUAUACAACCUCCCAGGUGAUUCUGAGCUUAUCAGAGCUGGAGAGGCACUUGCUACCCAGGGGCUUGGUGUGGAACGUGAGAUGCCAAAGCCAAAUUCAGGCCUCUCAGCUCAAGGCACCCUGAAGCACAGCUAGUCACUCCAGCACAUGUUGAAGCUGUGCAUGUUUACUUCAUGUUGAACUGUUCAUGUUUUAUUUUUGGAACACUGGGGAUUGGCAAAAAAAAAAAAAAACCCAUGUGAAUAAAGCCUUCUAGGGCACCACUGUGCCGACUGUGAACCACACGUGGACAAAACAAGCCGCGCUUGACAGCACCUACCUACAUGACCAGCACUCCCCUGGAUGCUGAUGCUGCCAUGCGAGAUGGGACGUUGGCGCACCAGCAUGCCAGCCACCCAUUGCUUCUCCUGCUUGCCAGCUCAACCGUGCUGCUCCCUCAGACACCAUCACUUGCGCCUCCCAAGCGAUGGAAGCUCUGGCGAUGCUCUCAUGAGCGCCUCACUCCAGCAGAGCCCCUGACCAAGCCAGGGGAGCAGGACUUUUCCAGCCAGGGACACAACGGACUGGUGGCUGUGAGUACCUCCCCACUUGAUCCCACUUCACUGGCCCCUGGGCGUGUGGCUCUCAGCAGCCUGGGAAGGAGUGUGAAGAAGCAGGUGGGAUAAGGGCCUUGAGAGAGAAGGAAAAGGCAGCCUAGUCGAUGCUCUCUGCUCUCCAGCGCUGACUGGGGGCUGGGUCGAAUGCUCAUCUGCAGCCAGCUGAGGACAUCACAGGCUCCUUUCCUCCCCUUCCCCUAAUGGGGAAGGGUGGUUUCCCCAUGGCCUGUGAGGGAGUCAGGGAGCUUCCAGAAACAAGCUGACAAGGUGGGGAAGCAUGUAACCAACAUAGCAUGGGAGCAGGCAGCGUACCUGCAGAGACUGGGGGUGAACACCGCCGUCUUCGAGAGGCGCCAUGUGAUCGGGGGUGCAGCUGUCACUGAGGAGAUCAUCCCAGGGUUUAAGUUCUCCCGUGCGUCCUACCUGCUCAGCCUGCUGAGGCCGCAGAUUUACACUGAUCUGGAGCUGAAGAAACAUGGGCUGAGGCUUCAUCUUCGAAACCCCUACUCCUUCACCCCCAUGCUGGAAGAGGGUGCAGGCAGCAAGGUGCCCAGGUGCCUUCUGCUGGGCACAGACAUGGCAGAAAACCAGAAGCAGAUCGCCCAGUUCUCCCAGAAGGAUGCCCAGGUCUUUCCCAAAUAUGAGGAGUUCAUGCAUCGCUUGGCAUUAGCCAUUGACCCUCUGCUGGAUGCGGCCCCCGUGGACAUGGCGGCCUUCCAGCAUGGCUCCUUGCUGCAAAGGAUGAGGUCGCUCUCCACCCUCAAGCCCCUGCUGAAGGCAGGCCGCAUCCUGGGAGCCCAGCUUCCCCGAUAUUAUGAGGUCCUCACAGCUCCCAUUACCAAGGUGCUGGAUCAGUGGUUCGAGUCUGAGCCUUUAAAAGCCACUCUAGCCACAGAUGCAGUGAUUGGAGCCAUGACAAGUCCCCACACUCCGGGGAGUGGGUAUGUGCUGCUGCAUCAUGUGAUGGGGGGCCUGGAGGGAAUGCAGGGGGCCUGGGGCUACGUCCAGGGGGGCAUGGGUGCCCUCUCUGAUGCCAUCGCAAGCUCAGCCACCACGCAUGGAGCAAGCAUCUUCACUGAAAAGACAGUGGCGAAGGUGCAGGUGAACAGUGAAGGCUGUGUUCAAGGAGUUGUGCUGGAAGAUGGCACAGAGGUGAGAAGCAAAAUGGUGCUGUCCAACACAUCACCGCAGAUCACCUUCCUGAAGCUGACGCCACAGGAGUGGCUUCCUGAGGAGUUCCUGGAGAGAAUCUCUCAGCUGGACACCCGGUCGCCUGUCACCAAGAUCAAUGGUAAGAGGCACACCACAUUGCAGCACUGUCUCCUUUGACCCAUCUGAGUGAGAAACCUCCAGGCUGGGGGCAGCUGAACUCAGUCAUCAUCUCCAUUCCCGGACCUCCAGCCUGUGUCCCCCUGCAGCCUGGUCAGAAGUGGCUGUAGACAGGCUGCCCAGCUUCCUGGCGGCCCCCAAUGCUCCCGGGGGCCAGCCGCUGCCCCAUCACCAAUGCUCCAUCCACCUGAACUGUGAAGACACCCUCCUCCUUCAUCAGGCCUUUGAAGAUGCCAUGGAUGGCCUGCCUUCCCACAGUGUUCGAUUGCAUCGAGGUCUAUGCCCCUGGCUUCAAGGACUCUGUGGUUGGCAGAGACAUCCUCACACCACCAGAUUUGGAGAGAAUCUUCGGGCUUCCUGGAGGGAACAUAUUCCACUGCGCCAUGUCCCUGGACCAGCUCUACUUCGCCCGCCCCGUGCCCCUGCAUUCUGGCUACCGCUGCCCUCUCCAGGGCCUGUAUCUCUGUGGAAGUGGGGCUCAUCCUGGAGGAGGUGUGAUGGGAGCUGCUGGGCGAAAUGCAGCGCAUGUGGCCUUUAGGGACCUCAAGAGCAUGUGACCCUGAACCAGCUCUGACCCAGGAAGAAGACUCCACCCCUGAAUUCCAAGUGCUCCAUUGGAUCAGCUUCCCAGGAAGUUCAGCUUCGGGUUAGUACAUAAGGCCACCACAAUGCUCAAGAAAUUAUUUUAGAAAAAACAUACGAGUUACAUUUAGUGCAAGUUGACCUUAUGCCCAUGCCUCCAUACAUGGACUGGUUCUGUUUUAUUAAAACUAAUAUUUCAUACAGAUUA
rnacentral:sRNA from 1 species